rnacentral:misc_RNA from 1 species
GUGAAUCAUCGAAUCUUUGAACGCAAAUUGCACUUUCUGGUAUUCCGGAAAGUAUGCCUGUUUGAGGAUCAUUAAACUAACAAUCGGUGUUGUUGCUGUUUUUCGUGGUGACGCGUCGGAAUUGAGUUGUCUUACCUUCGGUUAAGUGACUUAAAAUUUUGCAUAAUUUUCGAACGUAUUUAAAUUGCUUAUGUACGUUUGAGAUAUUGAAUACUUUAUGAUGUUCGUUCAUCCU